UGGGGAAUUUUGGACAAUGGGCGCAAGCCUGAUCCAGCCAUACCGCGUGAGUGAAGAAGGCCUUCGGGUUGUAAAGCUCUUUCAGACGGAAAGAAACGGUCGCGGCCAAUACCCGCGACUAAUGACGGUACCGUAAGAAGAAGCACCGGCUAACUACGUGCCAGCAGCCGCGGUAAUACGUAGGGUGCGAGCGUUAAUCGGAAUUACUGGGCGUAAAGCGUGCGCAGGCGGUUUGGUAAGACAGAUGUGAAAUCCCCGGGCUUAACCUGGGAACUGCAUUUGUGACUGCCAGACUAGAGUGUAGCAGAGGGGGGUAGAAUUCCACGUGUAGCAGUGAAAUGCGUAGAUAUGUGGAGGAAUACCGAUGGCGAAGGCAGCGCACUGGCCAAAAUCUGACGCUCACACACGAAAGCUAGGGUAGCGAAGAGGAUUAGAUACCCCUGUAGUCCCUGAGCGGGCUGGCAAGGCGCAU
rnacentral:rRNA from 1 species